GGUCUUUGCUGUUACUGGUUUGCAGUCUGGUCUUAACAUUUGUGAAAUGUUCCAUUUUAAAAUCUACAUUACUUUCUUAAUUUCAGGAUGCAGUUUUUGCAUAGCUAAACCAAAAAGUGUCAGUCAGUAUGUGUGAGUUGGGUGGACAAGGCAAACUUAUCCUUUAAAGAAGAAUAGUUUCUACUCUCUCCUUGAGGAUUUGUGGAGAAAAGGGUGCUGGGAUAGAAGCCCAUGAAACAACUUCAGAUUUCCCUGAUGUUAACCCCCACCAAAAUCCCCCCCUUUGGCUCACAUGAUAGCCCUCUGACUCAUGGCUGAAUUGUUCAUGACUCAUGAGGUUAAUGACAUUCCAGUGACAGACCUGCAGUUCAUUUUGAUGUGACACUCAGAAAUUACCUUAUUUUUAAUGCAUUCUUCAGGUUGAGUCUGGGGCUUAACAAAAAAGACAUUCCAAGUGGAGCCUUUACAAAAAAGCCUUUUGUGAGCUUAAUGUGAAACAUAAUAUCUCAAAGCAGGAUAGAGUAAAAGAGAGAGAAAUCCAUAAUGAAUUAUGUGUGUUAGGGAGAUGUAGGCUGUUAUUAACGUUGGGCUUUUAUGCAUAUUAUUUUCAGACUUUUUUAAUUAGUUUGAUACCGCUGAAAGAUUUAACCUCUCUUCAAAUCCCA